rnacentral:rRNA from 1 species
AGAUUAAGUUAUUAAGGGCGCACGGUGGAUGCCUUGGCACUAGAAGCCGAUGAAGGACGUUACUAACGACGAUAUGCUUUGGGGAGCUGUAAGUAAGCUUUGAUCCAGAGAUUUCCGAAUGGGGAAACCCAGCAUGAGUUAUGUCAUGUUAUCGAUAUGUGAAUACAUAGCAUAUCAGAAGGCACACCCGGAGAACUGAAACAUCUUAGUACCCGGAGGAAGAGAAAGAAAAUUCGAUUCCCUUAGUAGCGGCGAGCGAAACGGGAAGAGCCCAAACCAAAAAGCUUGCUUGUUGGGGUUGUAGGACACUCUAUACGGAGUUACAAAGGACGACAUUAGACGAAUCAUCUGGAAAGAUGAAUCAAAGAAGGUAAUAAUCCUGUAGUCGAAAAUGUUGUCUCUCUUGAGUGGAUCCUGAGUACGACGGAGCACGUGAAAUUCCGUCGGAAUCUGGGAGGACCAUCUCCUAAGGCUAAAUACUCUCUAGUGACCGAUAGUGAACCAGUACCGUGAGGGAAAGGUGAAAAGCACCCCGGAAGGGGAGUGAAAUAGAACCUGAAACCGUGUGCUUACAAGUAGUCAGAGCCCGUUAAUGGGUGAUGGCGUGCCUUUUGUAGAAUGAACCGGCGAGUUACGAUUUGAUGCAAGGUUAAGCAGUAAAUGUGGAGCCGUAGCGAAAGCGAGUCUGAAUAGGGCGUUUAGUAUUUGGUCGUAGACCCGAAACCAGGUGAUCUACCCUUGGUCAGGUUGAAGUUCAGGUAACACUGAAUGGAGGACCGAACCGACUUACGUUGAAAAGUGAGCGGAUGAACUGAGGGUAGCGGAGAAAUUCCAAUCGAACCUGGAGAUAGCUGGUUCUCUCCGAAAUAGCUUUAGGGCUAGCCUCAAGUGAUGAUUAUUGGAGGUAGAGCACUGUUUGGACGAGGGGCCCCUCUCGGGUUACCGAAUUCAGACAAACUCCGAAUGCCAAUUAAUUUAACUUGGGAGUCAGAACAUGGGUGAUAAGGUCCGUGUUCGAAAGGGAAACAGCCCAGACCACCAGCUAAGGUCCCAAAAUAUAUGUUAAGUGGAAAAGGAUGUGGCGUUGCCCAGACAACUAGGAUGUUGGCUUAGAAGCAGCCAUCAUUUAAAGAGUGCGUAAUAGCUCACUAGUCGAGUGACACUGCGCCGAAAAUGUACCGGGGCUAAACAUAUUACCGAAGCUGUGGAUUGUCCUUUGGACAAUGGUAGGAGAGCGUUCUAAGGGCGUUGAAGCAUGAUCGUAAGGACAUGUGGAGCGCUUAGAAGUGAGAAUGCCGGUGUGAGUAGCGAAAGACGGGUGAGAAUCCCGUCCACCGAUUGACUAAGGUUUCCAGAGGAAGGCUCGUCCGCUCUGGGUUAGUCGGGUCCUAAGCUGAGGCCGACAGGCGUAGGCGAUGGAUAACAGGUUGAUAUUCCUGUACCACCUAUAAUCGUUUUAAUCGAUGGGGGGACGCAGUAGGAUAGGCGAAGCGUGCGAUUGGAUUGCACGUCUAAGCAGUAAGGCUGAGUAUUAGGCAAAUCCGGUACUCGUUAAGGCUGAGCUGUGAUGGGGAGAAGACAUUGAGUCUUCGAGUCGUUGAUUUCACACUGCCGAGAAAAGCCUCUAGAUAGAAAAUAGGUGCCCGUACCGCAAACCGACACAGGUAGUCAAGAUGAGAAUUCUAAGGUGAGCGAGCGAACUCUCGUUAAGGAACUCGGCAAAAUGACCCCGUAACUUCGGGAGAAGGGGUGCUCUUUAGGGUUAACGCCCAGAAGAGCCGCAGUGAAUAGGCCCAAGCGACUGUUUAUCAAAAACACAGGUCUCUGCUAAACCGUAAGGUGAUGUAUAGGGGCUGACGCCUGCCCGGUGCUGGAAGGUUAAGAGGAGUGGUUAGCUUCUGCGAAGCUACGAAUCGAAGCCCCAGUAAACGGCGGCCGUAACUAUAACGGUCCUAAGGUAGCGAAAUUCCUUGUCGGGUAAGUUCCGACCCGCACGAAAGGCGUAACGAUUUGGGCACUGUCUCAACGAGAGACUCGGUGAAAUCAUAGUACCUGUGAAGAUGCAGGUUACCCGCGACAGGACGGAAAGACCCCGUGGAGCUUUACUGUAGCCUGAUAUUGAAAUUCGGCACAGCUUGUACAGGAUAGGUAGGAGCCUUUGAAACGUGAGCGCUAGCUUACGUGGAGGCGCUGGUGGGAUACUACCCUAGCUGUGUUGGCUUUCUAACCCGCACCACUUAUCGUGGUGGGAGACAGUGUCA